rnacentral:rRNA from 1 species
GAACGGGUGAGUAACGCGUAAGCAAUCUGCCCCUAAGACGAGGAUAACAGUUGGAAACGACUGCUAAGACUGGAUAGGAGACAAGAGGGCAUCUUCUUGUUUUUAAAACAACUAGCAAUAGGUAUGCUUAGGGAGGAGCUUGCGUCACAUUAGUUAGUUGGUGGGGUAAAGGCCUACCAAGACUAUGAUGUGUAGCCGGGCUGAGAGGUUGAACGGCCACAUUGGGACUGAGACACGGCCCAAACUCCUACGGGAGGCAGCAGUAGGGAAUUUUCGGCAAUGGAGGAAACUCUGACCGAGCAACGCCGCGUGAACGAUGAAGUAUUUCGGUACGUAAAGUUCUUUUAUUAGGGAAGAAUAAAUGAUGGAAAAAUCAUUCUGACGGUACCUAAUGAAUAAGCCCCGGCUAACUAUGUGCCAGCAGCCGCGGUAAUACAUAGGGGGCAAGCGUUAUCCGGAAUUAUUGGGCGUAAAGGGUGCGUAGGCGGUUAAAUAAGUUUAUGGUCUAAGUGCAAUGCUCAACAUUGUGAUGCUAUAAAAACUGUUUAGCUAGAGUAAGAUAGAGGCAAGUGGAAUUCCAUGUGUAGUGGUAAAAUGCGUAAAUAUAUGGAGGAACACCAGUAGCGAAGGCGGCUUGCUGGGUCUUUACUGACGCUGAGGCACGAAAGCGUGGGGAGCAAACAGGAUUAGAUACCCUGGUAGUCCACGCCGUAAACGAUGAGUACUAAACGUUGGGUAAAACCAGUGUUGAAGUUAACACAUUAAGUACUCCGCCUGAGUAGUACGUACGCAAGUAUGAAACUUAAAGGAAUUGACGGGACUCCGCACAAGCGGUGGAUCAUGUUGUUUAAUUCGAAGGUACCCGAAAAACCUCACCAGGUCUUGACAUGCUUCUGCAAAGCUGUAGAAACACAGUGGAGGUUAUCAGUUGCACAGGUGGUGCAUGGUUGUCGUCAGCUCGUGUCGUGAGAUGUUGGGUUAAGUCCCGCAACGAGCGCAACCCUUAUUGUUAGUUACCAGCACGUAAUGGUGGGGACUUUAGCAAGACUGCCAGUGAUAAAUUGGAGGAAGGUGGGGACGACGUCAAAUCAUCAUGCCCCUUAUGACCUGGGCUACAAACGUGAUACAAUGGCUGUUACAAAGGGUAGCUGAAGCGCAAGUUUUUGGCGAAUCUCAAAAAAACAGUCUCAGUUCGGAUUGAAGUCUGCAACUCGACUUCAUGAAGUUGGAAUCGCUAGUAAUCGCGAAUCAGCAUGUCGCGGUGAAUACGUUCUCGGGGUUUGUACACACCGCCCGUCAAACCACGAAAGUUGGUAAUACCCAAAGCCGGUGGCCUAACUUCGCAAGAAGAGGGAACCGUCUAAGGUAGGGUCGAUGAUUGGGGUUAAGUCGUAACAAGGUAUCCCUACCGGAAGGUGGGGAUGGAUCACCU